CCUACGGGUGGCAGCAGUGGGGAAUAUUGCACAAUGGGGGAAACCCUGAUGCAGCAACGCCGCGUGAGUGAUGACGGCCUUCGGGUUGUAAAGCUCUGUCUUCAGGGACGAUAAUGACGGUACCUGAGGAGGAAGCCACGGCUAACUACGUGCCAGCAGCCGCGGUAAUACGUAGGUGGCAAGCGUUGUCCGGAUUUACUGGGUGUAAAGGGCGUGCAGCCGGGAAGACAAGUCAGAUGUGAAACCCCGCGGCUCAACCGCGGAACUGCAUUUGAAACUGUUUUUCUUGAGUACCGGAGAGGUCAUCGGAAUUCCUUGUGUAGCGGUGAAAUGCGUAGAUAUAAGGAAGAACACCAGUGGCGAAGGCGGAUGACUGGACGGCAACUGACGGUGAGGCGCGAAAGCGUGGGGAGCAAACAGGAUUAGAUACCCUUGUAGUC
rnacentral:rRNA from 1 species